AUGCUACUCCCUCUGUCCAACAAAGAAUGUCUCAAGUUUGUCAAAAAUUAGAUGUAUCUAGACAUGACUUAGUGUAUAAAUGCAUUCAAAUUUAGUUAAAGUUGAGACAUCUUUUGUUGAACGGAGGGAGUACUAU
rfam:Brachypodium distachyon strain Bd21 chromosome 3, whole genome shotgun sequence.